CCUACGGGAGGCAGCAGUGGGGAAUAUUGGACAAUGGGCGAAAGCCUGAUCCAGCAAUGCCGCGUGAGUGAUGAAGGCCUUAGGGUUGUAAAGCUCUUUUACCAGGGAUGAUAAUGACAGUACCUGGAGAAUAAGCUCCGGCUAACUCCGUGCCAGCAGCCGCGGUAAUACGGAGGGAGCUAGCGUUAUUCGGAAUUACUGGGCGUAAAGCGUACGUAGGCGGUUAUUCAAGUCAGAGGUGAAAGCCCGGGGCUCAACCCCGGAACUGCCUUUGAAACUAGAUAACUAGAGUCUUGGAGAGGUUAGUGGAAUUCCGAGUGUAGAGGUGAAAUUCGUAGAUAUUCGGAAGAACACCAGUGGCGAAGGCGACUAACUGGACAAGUACUGACGCUGAGGUACGAAAGCGUGGGGAGCAAACAGGAUUAGAUACCCUGGUAGUCCACGCCGUAAACGAUGAUAACUAGCUGUCCGGGCACUUGGUGCCUGGGUGGCGCAGCUAACGCAUUAAGUUAUCCGCCUGGGGAGUACGGUCGCAAGAUUAAAACUUAAAGGAAUUGACGG
rnacentral:rRNA from 1 species